rnacentral:rRNA from 1 species
GGGUUGUGAGGUUAAGCGACUAAGCGUACACGGUGGAUGCCCUGGCAGUCAGAGGCGAUGAAGGACGUGCUAAUCUGCGAUAAGCGUCGGUAAGGUGAUAUGAACCGUUAUAACCGGCGAUUUCCGAAUGGGGAAACCCAGUGUGUUUCGACACACUAUCAUUAACUGAAUCCAUAGGUUAAUGAGGCGAACCGGGGGAACUGAAACAUCUAAGUACCCCGAGGAAAAGAAAUCAACCGAGAUUCCCCCAGUAGCGGCGAGCGAACGGGGAGCAGCCCAGAGUCUGAAUCAGUGUGUGUGUUAGUGGAAGCGUCUGGAAAGGCGCGCGAUACAGGGUGACAGCCCCGUACACAAAAAUGCACAUAUUGUGAGCUCGAUGAGUAGGGCGGGACACGUGGUAUCCUGUCUGAAUAUGGGGGGACCAUCCUCCAAGGCUAAAUACUCCUGACUGACCGAUAGUGAACCAGUACCGUGAGGGAAAGGCGAAAAGAACCCCGGCGAGGGGAGUGAAAAAGAACCUGAAACCGUGUACGUACAAGCAGUGGGAGCACGCUUAGGCGUGUGACUGCGUACCUUUUGUAUAAUGGGUCAGCGACUUAUAUUCUGUAGCAAGGUUAACCGAAUAGGGGAGCCGAAGGGAAACCGAGUCUUAACUGGGCGUUAAGUUGCAGGGUAUAGACCCGAAACCCGGUGAUCUAGCCAUGGGCAGGUUGAAGGUUGGGUAACACUAACUGGAGGACCGAACCGACUAAUGUUGAAAAAUUAGCGGAUGACUUGUGGCUGGGGGUGAAAGGCCAAUCAAACCGGGAGAUAGCUGGUUCUCCCCGAAAGCUAUUUAGGUAGCGCCUCGUGAACUCAUCUCCGGGGGUAGAGCACUGUUUCGGCAAGGGGGUCAUCCCGACUUACCAACCCGAUGCAAACUGCGAAUACCGGAGAAUGUUAUCACGGGAGACACACGGCGGGUGCUAACGUCCGUCGUGAAGAGGGAAACAACCCAGACCGCCAGCUAAGGUCCCAAAGUCAUGGUUAAGUGGGAAACGAUGUGGGAAGGCCCAGACAGCCAGGAUGUUGGCUUAGAAGCAGCCAUCAUUUAAAGAAAGCGUAAUAGCUCACUGGUCGAGUCGGCCUGCGCGGAAGAUGUAACGGGGCUAAACCAUGCACCGAAGCUGCGGCAGCGACGCUUAUGCGUUGUUGGGUAGGGGAGCGUUCUGUAAGCCUGUGAAGGUGUGCUGUGAGGCAUGCUGGAGGUAUCAGAAGUGCGAAUGCUGACAUAAGUAACGAUAAAGCGGGUGAAAAGCCCGCUCGCCGGAAGACCAAGGGUUCCUGUCCAACGUUAAUCGGGGCAGGGUGAGUCGACCCCUAAGGCGAGGCCGAAAGGCGUAGUCGAUGGGAAACAGGUUAAUAUUCCUGUACUUGGUGUUACUGCGAAGGGGGGACGGAGAAGGCUAUGUUGGCCGGGCGACGGUUGUCCCGGUUUAAGCGUGUAGGCUGGUUUUCCAGGCAAAUCCGGAAAAUCAAGGCUGAGGCGUGAUGACGAGGCACUACGGUGCUGAAGCAACAAAUGCCCUGCUUCCAGGAAAAGCCUCUAAGCAUCAGGUAACAUCAAAUCGUACCCCAAACCGACACAGGUGGUCAGGUAGAGAAUACCAAGGCGCUUGAGAGAACUCGGGUGAAGGAACUAGGCAAAAUGGUGCCGUAACUUCGGGAGAAGGCACGCUGAUAUGUAGGUGAAGCGACUUGCUCGUGGAGCUGAAAUCAGUCGAAGAUACCAGCUGGCUGCAACUGUUUAUUAAAAACACAGCACUGUGCAAACACGAAAGUGGACGUAUACGGUGUGACGCCUGCCCGGUGCCGGAAGGUUAAUUGAUGGGGUCAGCGCAAGCGAAGCUCUUGAUCGAAGCCCCGGUAAACGGCGGCCGUAACUAUAACGGUCCUAAGGUAGCGAAAUUCCUUGUCGGGUAAGUUCCGACCUGCACGAAUGGCGUAAUGAUGGCCAGGCUGUCUCCACCCGAGACUCAGUGAAAUUGAACUCGCUGUGAAGAUGCAGUGUACCCGCGGCAAGACGGAAAGACCCCGUGAACCUUUACUAUAGCUUGACACUGAACAUUGAGCCUUGAUGUGUAGGAUAGGUGGGAGGCUUUGAAGUGUGGACGCCAGUCUGCAUGGAGCCGACCUUGAAAUACCACCCUUUAAUGUUUGAUGUUCUAACGUUGACCCGUAAUCCGGGUUGCGGACAGUGUCUGGUGGGUAGUUUGACUGGGGCGGUCUCCUCCUAAAGAGUAACGGAGGAGCACGAAGGUUGGCUAAUCCUGGUCGGACAUCAGGAGGUUAGUGCAAUGGCAUAAGCCAGCUUGACUGCGAGCGUGACGGCGCGAGCAGGUGCGAAAGCAGGUCAUAGUGAUCCGGUGGUUCUGAAUGGAAGGGCCAUCGCUCAACGGAUAAAAGGUACUCCGGGGAUAACAGGCUGAUACCGCCCAAGAGUUCAUAUCGACGGCGGUGUUUGGCACCUCGAUGUCGGCUCAUCACAUCCUGGGGCUGAAGUAGGUCCCAAGGGUAUGGCUGUUCGCCAUUUAAAGUGGUACGCGAGCUGGGUUUAGAACGUCGUGAGACAGUUCGGUCCCUAUCUGCCGUGGGCGCUGGAGAACUGAGGGGGGCUGCUCCUAGUACGAGAGGACCGGAGUGGACGCAUCACUGGUGUUCGGGUUGUCAUGCCAAUGGCACUGCCCGGUAGCUAAAUGCGGAAGAGAUAAGUGCUGAAAGCAUCUAAGCACGAAACUUGCCCCGAGAUGAGUUCUCCCUGACCCUUUAAGGGUCCUGAAGGAACGUUGAAGACGACGACGUUGAUAGGCCGGGUGUGUAAGCGCAGCGAUGCGUUGAGCUAACCGGUACUAAUGAACCGUGAGGCUUAACCUUACAACGCCGAAG